AAUCCUCUUCAGUGACCACGCUGGGCUGUCCCUCCGCCCACGUUAGCAGAGCCUUUCCGUCCCCUCACCCUUGGGCAGAUCUCACCCUCUGGCUGCCUCCGGCAUCCUCAAGAGAGACCUUUUCCUCCCAGAACCACUUACUUCACCCACCCAGAUCCACACUUGCAUUUCCCACGGCACAAAACCAUAACCCAAAGCCACUCUGGGGAUUUUAUUAUCGAGUUGGGGGUGGCGUGCUCGAGUGGUCUGACCCCCACCGCUCUGGAUGGAGACCCCGGGUAACAGCAGCCUUCCCUUAAGUCCCACCUCCCCUGGUCCUCUGCCCCUACCCAGUAGCGACAGGCAGGAGAAGCACUACUAGAUCGCAAGCCCUCGUCUCUGGAACCGGAGCUGCAGAGAGCGAAAAGUCGAACUGCAAGAACACAGUGAGAGAAAUGGGCAAAUGCGUUAAGGAAGGGGGAGCUGGGGGAAGGGCGCACGAGAGAAAUGAACAGGCACCGCACCAGCUGCUGAUGGACAUUAGGCUGUCACAUCUGUGCCCAUGUCUCCUAUUGAACAUGUUCUCUUGGAAGCCCUUGGAGGGGAAUGGUUGGUUGAUCAUAAGAAACAUAUAGAAUAGAGCCGAACCUAGUGUCCCAGGUUUCAGCUACUUGGGAGACGGAGACAGAAGAAUCCCAAGUUGAAAGCCUGCCUGGACUAAGAAUGAGUUAUGAGCCAAUCCUUGAUACUGCAUCAUGAUAUUCUCAAGAUGGAAAACUGCAGAAGGGCAGGGGAUACAGCUUAGUGCUGGGACGCUUGCCUCACCUUUGCUGAGGUUAAAGGUUAAGGGACAGAGGAUAUGAAGUGGACCUGGAGUGAGUCUGUGAGAGGUUGGGGGCGGGGAGAUGAUAUGAUCCUAACACAUUCUAUUUAUGCAUGAAAUUGUCAAAGAAUGGAUAAAUAAGUGAUUUUUAAAAAAAUAUGCAAGUGAGUCUACUUCAAAUGACUGAGUAAUGGUCUUCAGAAAUAAUUUUUUAUAAAUUUCAACAUUGAAAAAAUCCUGUAUAGUUUGGAACUUUAUGUCCAAGAAUGUAAUAAGUUUUAGAUUAAUUUUUCUAUGGUGUGGGUCGCUGAGCUCACAAGAUCCUUUGUAUUUGAAUUUUCAGUGGUUCAAUGAUCACAAUGUGAUAAUAGUAGAGAAAACAGGUAAUUGUGGUUGUGCACAAACUGACUUUGUUCUCUUUGAAAAACUGGGCCUGUGGUAUUUACCCACGGUUCUCAGGCACUCAGCCAGAUGCUAUGGCUAAUGCAUAAUUGCAGCCUAAUACAAUGAGAAAGGCACCACAGAUGUUUCUGGUUAGUUUCUACACAUCCUGACCUAUGUCCUUCAGAAUGUGGUGGACAUUCCAAGUCAGCUCCAGUAUAUUCCUUCCUGUCUCUCUCCUCAGCACAAUGCAUCUUGAAUGUUUUCCCUGAUAUAAGAUAGUUGGCAUUCAGCUUUGUUAAUACAGUCUAGAGAUGCCACAGCCAUAGGUUCAUAUAGGAGUGACCCUCACCGAGGUGGAGCAAACAGUCGAGCAGGAAUCUAUGGGAGAUUGCUUCCCUCUCACGCCCGGGAGCACUUCUGAGCUGCAUUGGAGAAAUCAGGUCUCAAUGGCCACAGCACAAGCUCAGGUCCACACCCUCAUUAGCCUUUCCUCUUUCCUUGUUGCAUUUCCCUGGGUCCCUUGUGGCUAUCUUUUGUGGUUAUGACACAAGUCAAACACCUGCACCCAAGUCUUUGUCUUGGAUGUGGCUCUCAGGGGAUCUCAGACCGAGACAAUGGUUAUUUUUAUCCUGUUAGAGGCAAUUAACUUUCACACACACACACAAAGACCUUUCAGCAUUGCCAAGCUAACAGGGUAGGUACAGGAACCUGAGCAUAGAUCUGCUGGCUCCAGGUCUUCAGGAUUGCCCUGCUUCUUCCUCAACACCCAGACAAAGGCAGUGUGAGUAGUAGUCUAGGGUCUGGGAUUUAGAGAAUGAGGAGCCAGGUUGCACAGCUGUGUCACCUGCUGACUCUGGAAAGGAAAAAAAAUCACUCACCACAUGCGGUGUCCCACUUUUAUCAUAUAAAAAGAUGGGCAUAGUUUUUAUUUUUAUCUCAAAGGACUAAAGGAAUUGGUAUUUAUAAAGCAGAAUUUAGUGUGAUGAGCUCAGAGUGUUGCUAUUACUUACUGUUUUUCCCCACUCACACCACACUCCAACUCUCUCCCUCAGUGUCCAAUGUACACAUGAUAAUCUAGUUAUAUUCCCAGGGGGAACAGGGAGGGAUGAAGCUGAGAUGAUCAAUAUCACAGCACAGACACAUCAUUUAAAGAUGACUGCAUCUUCUAGUGAAAUCAUCUGAUACGAGUACAAGGAAUCAAAUGAUUUUGUAAAAUCUGCAUCACGUUAGAAUGCCAAGAGACCACACGUGCCUCCCAGUUGCCUGACAAAGCAAACCAUGAAGUUGGCAGCCAUACUUUGGUAGGUCAUUCUCCACAAUGUUGUCAGGUUGUAUUUCCAGGUAUUAGUACAUUCCUAUCUGAAAGUCUCCUGGUUGUUUAGGUCUUUGUCUGUGUGUUUUCUCUCCACCACUGUAAGAAGUUCUCUGAAACUGAGAAACUUGACAAUCAAUCAUUUCCCAUGACUCUAGACUAGAGGAUGGAGCAGAGUGUGUAGUAAACAUCUGGGGCGGGGGGCAUUGAGAACCUUUAAAAAUGCCACUGUGUCUCCCAUUGAUCUUACAGAUUCCCAUUCACCUCACGUAUAGUUUUAUUCUUCCGUAUCUAAACUGUUGAUUCAAAAUUUGAUACACAAAAAUAAGUCAAGGUUCUAAGGAUAUUGAGGACAAUUGAUUACCCUGACCAUUUAUAGAUUUUAGAUGAUAUAGUUAACUGUGCUAAAGUCCAGAUAGAUAACAGGAUGAGGUAAGGUGAAGUUGAGUAGAGAGUGGUUUGGCUGGGCCUUGAGAGGCACACUCAGGUCACCUUUGCUUUCCUGCACCGCUCUGGAAGUGAGACCACAUCUGCUGUCUUCUUGUCUCAUCUCCUCUCUACAGUCCUCCUGUGCUGGGUCCUAUGCAUGUAGGGAAGCAGAAGUUUGCAAUCUUGAUGCAAGAGAACAUUGGCCUAGCAAAGAAGUGAUCACAAGUCUUCAUUCACCAAGCAAUUGACCAGUCAAAAUAACUGCUGAAGGGUGGACAUCAAUUUCAAAACAGCUCACAGGAAAGAAGGAAUGCAAUGGCAUGUCCCCAAGUUCACAGAUGCAUCUGACUUGAAGCCCAGAUGGAUCUAGGAGUCCAGAUGACCUUAUCAGGAUCCAUCCUCAAUUCUUCAUCUUUGAUUUCUGCUUUUCUUCAUUUACUGUUCAUUCUAGAGGAUAUUGGCCUCUCAGAUGAUCAGUAGUUUCACUUCCCAUUCAUCAUGCUUUGGAGGAUUUCUCUUGCUGAUAAAUUCCAAGAAGAGCUUUGGAUUACUACCUAUCUGAUAUGCAUUACAAGCCACUAUUAGAACUAAUUUUAUGGCCAAUGAGACAUCAAUGACAAGAUAAGAGCUCAACUUGAAGUUAAGGGUAGUGAACUUAUAAUGGGCCAAUACUGACUAGACUGUCGUGGGAGUUUGCACUCCAAACAAAAACAGAUAUCACCAUUAUGUGAAUGGAAAAUGAAUACCUGGAGGGUAAAAGCUGUGACUGUCUUUAAAGACUAUCCACAUACUCUCCACUGCAUCUUCAGAGUCAUAGAAAUCCCUUUGGAAUAUUCUGCCUAAUUCUUGAUUGCUUGACACUGUUAACUUUGAUGUUAUAGUUACCGAUAAAACCAGAUUGCUUUCUACAGUUCCUUCCCAAUCACCAUCAUUACCUAGAUCUGUUGUCUCUAUUGUUACACAAUCGAACAAACUAUCUAGUAAACAUGGUGUCUGCCCUGUAGACCAGGGAUUACUGUCUGGAUCCCAUUAACCACCACCAAUGGAAAAUCUGCCUGCACCUCUGUGCACAAUGUAGUGAUUUUAUCAUAAUUAUUAGAAAGAUAAAGAUCCUCUCUUCCCAUCUGGAAUUCAAGCACUAGAAAAGCUGCAAAUUGAUCCCAGUGUACAAGUUCUUUGAAUAAGGAGUCCACAGACUUGGACAGAAAAGGGUUAUAACAUUUAUUACGUAUUACAUUGUUAUUUCCACUUUUAAAAAGAAAUCUAGCAUUUCUUUUCAUUAUGAGCAUAGAUAACAGCCCAAAGUUGUAUUAGAAAUGCAUGCAACUUUGCUAUGAUCAAAAACAUUCAUUUUCACAUAUUAUUUACACUUGCCAGCACUUUGAAAUUAUAGUAAUUAUCAGAUGCGUUACUAAAUCUUGGCUAAUUUGCUAAUAAAAAAUACACAACUACACCUUUUAAAAGUAUUUUGUUGAACAAAUUUUAAUAUAAUUAGGUUACUUUGUAAUUCCAUGUGCCUUCUUUUAUGGAUGUUGAGCUGAGUCUUGCCAUCGGAUCACUGCACACCCAGUGCACUGUUCUAGCUGGGGCUCUGUCCACAGAGCUGCCUUGAGUUACCCUGCUCACUGGCCUCAUCCUCAGAUACCCUGCACAGCUUGCAACUGUUGGACUGGACGAUGGUGACUAUUUUCUCUUCUUUAGAAAUGUUCCAGAGUUUUUCAUGCUUCUCACUACCGUGACUGCCCCAGGAUCAGCUAGGCUCUACUGACAUGUGUUCUGGCUGAUGUCCAUUCAACUCACUCACCUGUGCUCCACCAUGCUCCUAAUGCCAGUCUUUGGAUAUUUUGUGUAUAAACCCUUAAUAAGAUAUUCAACCUUUCUUGUGGAGUUAUUAUGUAUCAGAUAGUAUUUUAAUCCUCUUAUGUAUAUUAAUUCAUCUUUUAAAAAAAGCAUGUAACAACAUAUUGUUACCUUCAACAAAAUCACCUCCUGAUUCACAGCACACCAAGGUCCCUGUGAUCUGGAAUUGCUGUACUUGCUGCAAGAUGCACUGCCUUCCAGACACAUUGAAGUUCUUGGUUUCACAAAUAUCUUUUUCACUUUCUAGCCUUUGAAAUUGUCUCCUGCCACUUCCACCUGCAAUUUUCUCAUCUCUUAUCACUAAAAUUACCAUUCAUAUCAGGCUGUCCAGAGCCUUCUUUUGUAACCUUAAGUGGGCAUACAAUGUCUCUCUUUGGUGUAGCCUGUAUUUGCUACUUGGAUGUCUGAUUGCAACAAGAUGUGGAAGCCAUAGACCACCUGUGAUACAGGGACUCAUUUAAUGUAGUGCAAUUACCCUUUUGUUAUCAGCAUAUAAGGAACAAGACAUGGGCCCUGGCACCAAGAAGCUUGGGUGAGACAUAGACACAUCUGCAUAAUCCAACAUCAGGUGAAAGUUAGGCACACUGGGAGGAUGGAGCUGCAGAAGUCAAAGACUGAACCACAGUCAGAGCCCAGAAUAGUGGAGGGGUGGCUGUGAUGGAGGAGGACAAGGUAAGCUCCCAGACACUAACAGAAGGGCAGGGAGAUAAGGCUCCCACCAAAGGCAGGACUGUGUUGAGACAUGUGUGAUCCCUGCAGAACCUUAGUGUGAUGAGGUUUCUAAGAAGGCAGACUGUGGAUCUAGACACACAUAUGGUAGAUUAGAGAAGAUGCUAGCUUUUAAACCUGGUACUGUUUGGCUUUGUGAUCAUCAUUAAUUUGCCUUGAUCCUAGGUGCCCUACUGUAUAACAUGGAGGGACCAAUCAUGUUUAUCUUCAGUAGCUUGAUGGGCUGGGCUACAGUGUGUGUGUGUGUGUGUGUGUGUGUGUGUGUGUGUGUGUGUGUGUAAAACCUUUGACGAAUGCCUUCAGGAGGAUCAUGUCGGGUUCUUCACAGAGUCUCUCAGCUCCUUAAGGUCUUGACACUUGCAGAGCAUCAUUUGGGGUUUGCCCGUGGGAUCCAGAUGGAAGAUGUGGUCAUUGCUUCGCUCUGCUUUCAGCCUCUCCUUUUGUUCACCUCAACCAAGACAUCAAACAUAGACCUAGAAGCAACCGUCUCCACAUGUGAUGACAGACAUCAUGGAGGAAGGCACUUUGAGGACACUCCUCAGCUGAGAGCAGCUUCUCCUGAGAGGGAGGCAAUUGAUACUUCAGGACAAGUCUGUUCUCCAGUUCUGGCCACAUAAAGCACCAUCUGCUGCCUAUGAGGCUCUGUGCUCCCAAUCUUCUUUCAGAGCAGAGCACAAGUUCCAUAUUCCAAAGUGGACCUGAAUCUCCUAACUGGUGAGCAGUUGGGACACUAAGCUAGCUAGGCCGGUUCACCGUUCCUAUCCUGGUCAUUUUUUCCAGACUCCAGUGCCCCAGGCUAAAACUCCCACUGGAAAUUGCUCUUGUUGAAGGACCUUGCCCAUGGGAACUCCAGAGGCCAAUAGGCAAUCAAUCCAACUACGCUCUCCAAGGAAGCCUUGGGGACCUCAGACAAACACCUGCAGAGCUUACGUUCGUAACUCAAAUAACUCUCACCAUUACAAGCCAAAGGAAGGACAAGCAGAGCGGUUGCCAUCUGCCAGGUCACUUUCCCUAAACACAUAGCUGGAUAACAAGGAAAUCCCAACUCCAAGCAAUAUUCCAGCCCCAGAAAAUAAAGUCUCUUCAAAGAGGAUUUCUCUAACUAAUGAUAUGGGAAAGAAGGUGAAAGAAGUAUUAACUUUAACUAGGUGAAUUCACACACACACACACACACACACACACACACACACACACACACUCACACUCACACACACUCACACACGCUUCUCAAGCAAAAUGUUUUCAGAAAACCUCUUGGGACCCAUGUUCUAUAUUUAACAAAGCAACAGCUCUCUCAAAUAGAAUGGAAUUUCUGUUAUUUAAAAAAAUGUAUAACUUGUUUUUUUA